rnacentral:rRNA from 1 species
CCUACGGGAGGCAGCAGUGAGGAAUAUUGGUCAAUGGACGCAAGUCUGAACCAGCCAUGCCGCGUGCAGGAAGACGGCUCUAUGAGUUGUAAACUGCUUUUGUACGAGGGUAAACGCAGAUACACGUAUCUGUCUGAAAGUAUCGUACGAAUAAGGAUCGGCUAACUCCGUGCCAGCAGCCGCGGUAAUACGGAGGAUUCAAGCGUUAUCCGGAUUUAUUGGGUUUAAAGGGUGCGUAGGCGGUCGGAUAAGUUAGAGGUGAAAUCCCGAGGCUCAACUUCGGAAUUGCCUCUGAUACUGUUCGGCUAGAGAGUAGUUGCGGUAGGCGGAAUGUAUGGUGUAGCGGUGAAAUGCUUAGAGAUCAUACAGAACACCGAUUGCGAAGGCAGCUUACCAAGCUACUUCUGACGUUGAGGCACGAAAGCGUGGGUAGCAAACAGGAUUAGAUACCCCAGUAGUC